rnacentral:lncRNA from 1 species
AAAGAUUUUGAUCUCCUAUGAAACUGCUCUCUUAAGAUCAGGUAAGCCUCCAAUCUUUUGCCACAAAUCACCUUAUUCUUCUUUGAAUCAUAUUUCAGAUCAAGUAGAUAUAAGGAUUAGAAAAUGAUGUUAGUCUUUGUUUAAUAUGCACUAGAUCGAUUUGAUCCAUGACAUAUAUUUCCUCUUGGAGGGCUUAAUGAUUUUGAUCUUAUAAUUUAUUACAUGUUGCUUGUUAUUUUAGAUUUAGCAAAUAGAUUUUUUUUUUCAAUAUUUUGAUGGAUGUGUUAUGGGAUGAUGUGGAAGAUGAAAUUUUGAUGGUGAAUUAUAAACAGGUGAUUCAAGAAAAAAACACAUUAAUAAAAGGUUUCAUUUGCAAGGUAGAAAAUUUUGAUGUGUUUCUCAUUGGGAGUUAGCUUUGUUUUCGAAUGUCUUUCGCCAUCUAUUUGUAAUUCAUUUUCAUGGUUAGUUAUUUCUAAUCUCAUGGUGGCAAAUAUUGAGGGCUCCAAUUUAGGUGACUUUUUGGAUUAUUGGCCUAGCUAAAUUGGAAAGGUCUAAGGGGAAUGGGCUACCCUUGUUGUGUAGCAUGAUCAAGCCUAUAGACUGACAUAUUGAACAAAAAAUAAAAUGAUAGAGGACUUAUAAAUUGCAUAUGAGGGAAGGGUCUAGGCCCAAGGGUAUAGAGAUGGGCGCAAAGCCUACAUUGUUGACUAGGAGGAAGUUGUGCAAGUUAGGGAGAGAGGAGAAAGAUUUAUGACAUUGGGUGGGGGUCUCGAGAAUGAGUGGAAUGCAUAAAGAAUUCAAAUUCCCCAUAUGAUAUUUACAAGUUUAUUAGGAAUGAGUGAUUUAUGAUAAAAAAAAAGUUAGAAAUAAUAUUGGUUAAACUCAUGAAACAAGCCAUAUUAAUUAACUUUACAACUAGUUACUUGUUUGUUUUGCUCCUAAUGCUAAAGCAUUGGUAAGGGGUUAUUGAGUGGAGGAGUUGGCUUGAUCUAGUUUUCUUCUUGUGCAACAGUUUUAGAGAAGACUCUUUUGCUUUUUACUCUUAAUGCAAAAAAAAAGUAAAAGAUGCUAGUGAAAAACUAUGACUAGAAUCCUCGCCUUGCAUGAAAAUUCAUGGAAAAUAUUUCAAGAAAGAACCUAGAUGUUUUGAAAAGAUUAUUUAAGAUAUGGAUAAGAUCUAAGUGGAUCCUGAAGUUGCUUCAAGCAUUUUCUUUUAUGAUAAAUGCUCUUAUCUUGCCAUGGUUUGAGUUGGUUCUGAUGUUGCAUUCCUAACCUAUCGGUAAUGUACUUACUUUAUCAUUUUAAUUCACUUGUGCAAGUUGCCUCUUCUCUUAUCAUCACAAUAAUAAGAUACGAGUUUCAUAUUUAUUUUUGAACCCUUUUUUUCUAAUUAGAAGUUCAUUAUUUUUAAAACGAUAUCCUAUAACUAAUUAUAAUUAUGUUCUUCAUUACAAAUUUUGGUUAUUGGUGGGGGAGGAGUGUUCUUGGGUGGCAAUGAAUUGCAAAUAUCUCUUCACUUUUUUAUGUGAUGCAUUUUCAUGUGGCAAUUUGGCCUUUCUAUUUCGAUCCUCAUUUGGAUGGCCAAUAUGUUUCUUAUUUAUGGUGAAAUUCUGAAUAGAUUUUCUAUAUAGAAGAUAUUAAUGGAAGUGAAGUUACAUAUAAUGUUUAAGAGUUGAAGUUGAUAUGACUAUUGCUUGGCGUGAAUUGUCUACAUAAUCAGUUUAUUUCUCAUUUGUGGCCUUAAAUCUAUUUUAUGACUAUUAAUAUCAACCAAAACUAAGGCCUUAACAACACUAUCAAGUUGAGCUCCACUAAUACAUUUUAAAUAUAUUUUCUCCUUAUGUAGGUCAUCAUUAUGUUUUUCUUUAGUCCCAUCAUUCCGGCUUUAGGUAAUUUAGUGUUUCAAUCAUACCAAUAUGUCACGAAAAGCAAUUAGUCACUCUUGAAUUUCAAGUAAUCUAAAUUGAUGUUCAACCACCGAAUUUAUUGAAGUCAACCCCUUAAACUAAGGAACUUACUUAGGGUCCUAAUACACUAAAUACAUAUGGGCAACCACAAGUCUAGUUCAGGUUGGACUUGAUCAUAUCGGUACCAUAACUCGAAGUACAUAUGUUUGCCUCAAACCUAAACCAAAUUUAUAAUCCUUGCAUGAACCUAAUAUUGGCCCCAAAUAUAAUAGGGUAUGGGUUUGGUAUCAAAUUGUAAUCAAGUAUUUAUCAAGCUAUUUUAGUAUUUUUCUUUUCGAGUUAUUAGAUGCACACAACAUGUUACCUUAUGAAUAUUGAACACCAUUGACAACACUAAUCACCAAGCUUUCACAUUGGAUUGUUGGUGCCAUUAUAUAUUAAUUAAUAGUGGUUUAUGGGACCACUUAAUUUAGUUGGAUUGUGACCAUGACUUUAAAUUUUGUUAAUCAAUUCUUUGCAGACCUACUCAUUCAUGGCUUUUAUCAAUUCAAAAUACAUGGUUAUGAUUUAAUCUAUAAAAUAAAUAAAAUAUAGUAUGCAUUGAAGUAUANNNNNNNNNNNNNNNNNNNNNNNNNNNNNNNNNNNNNNNNNNNNNNNNNNNGUUUAAUUUUUCAGGUGCAAUAGACCUAAAUUCAAAUCCAAUCUAAUAUUCUCGAAUAUAGGUUCAGGUUCCAAACCUGAGAUUUACGGUUCUCUCUGGUUCUACAUAUUACACACACACAAGUAUACAUAAAUACAUACCAAAAUAAGGUUUAGGUUUUUAGGUAUCAAUCAAUCUAAAUCCCCACCCGACCAAUUAAUGUCUUGGGUUCGAAUUUAGGAUUAAAAUCCAAUAUUUAGGAUUAAUUUAGGUUCCACGUAGUGGAUUACUGUCUCCUAUUACCACUCCUACUUUUAGGAGUAUGUUCAUUACAAAUUGGAAACCUGUCUUCUCUAUUACUUGCACUUCAUCACUCUACUUCUCUUGAGUCCCAUUCCCUUCAUUUUAAUAAUUUUUUGUUUUUUGCAAAUCUUUUGUACAAGUCAAAAUUCUGAGUAUUUUGUGAUGCUUUAUCUCCAUUUACUUGAAAAGUUUGAAUAGUUGUUGGAGAGUCUAUAUGUUUUACCUCUUUGAUCUAUUCUUUUCUCCUCCGUCUUAUUUCUUCAGCCAAUUUUUCAAGGUUAUAUUUAUAUAUCAACCUUGGAGGCUCUUGCUUAUCUCUUUAACCAAUUAAUUCGAGCAAAUUUUCUUCAGCUGAGGGGUUGAAGCAUGCAACAAUUUCAAUUCAUUAUAUAUACCAAUUCUUUGCUUUAUCUUUCUUCCUCUUGGUCUUCUUGUUCCUAAGGCAUUAGAUGACUAGGAGGUCGAAGUGUGUUUCAUUAAUCUAAAAGGUGAAUCAAGAGUUUCAAAAAAAUUUAAAUUAAGGAGAAACCUGGGUAGUGUGGGUUGAGUUAGAACCAAUCAAAAUCCAAAUAGGCUAGAGAAAUAUGCUUGUUUGGACCUAACAAAUCUACUAAUGAACCUGGCCACCUAAAUCCAAACCUAACAUACGUCCAAAAUUUUCAGCCCAAAGAAAAUUACUCCCUAAUUUGGGCCUACGGAAUCUAAAAGGCCAAAUUGUGAUAAAAACCACUUUUUUAUUUGGGAUCAAAAUUUUAAAUGACAGUAUCCCAACCAUCUUGCCUAUUCUGUAAGAAAACGGGACUAGGAUAGGGGAAAGACUCUGAAACUCGUACACGAUGGGAAAGAAGAAGAAAGGGGAGAGAUGGAAAAGGAAGGAUGGAAGGAGAAAAGAAAGAGAGCAGAAUGAUCAAAAAGUGUUUUUGGUCGGGGGGCGAAGAAGGAGAAAAAGAAGAGAAAGAAUGAAAAGAAGAAAAAUAACAGAAAGAAAGGAAGAUGGAAAGCUAGAAGAAGGGAAAGAGAAAAAAAGGAAGAAAAAUGAAAGAAAGAAAGAAAGGAAGGAAGGAAGAAAAAAAAGAAGAAGAAAAAAUAAAGAAAAAAAAAGAAGGGGAGAGAGUCUGGAGGGUACAUAUUGGGACAUGCUAUCAGGACUAGGAGUAUCAAUCAGAUCAGGUUGGGUCAGAUAUGGGUCAGACUAGAUGUGGGUCAGGUUAAGUAUUUGUCAAUCUAAAUUUUAUCUAUUUAUUAAAUAGAUCAAAAAUCUAAAUUCAGACAUAACCUACAUAUUAGAUAGGUAAUCCAAUCUGACCCAUAUAACUUGUUAACUAAUGGGUCAAAUCAAAUUAAACAUGUUGAACAUAUUUGGGUAAAAAGAUUAAGCUGGUUGCGUUAAAAAGGACAAAAAAGAAUUAAGUAGAUUUUAAGUGGAUUAAAAUGAGUGUUAAAUGAGUUAACCUGGUCAGGUCAUGAUAUGAACUAAUUGUUAAACAUGUCAAAAUGAGUUAAAUGAGUCAAAACGGGUUAAACGGUUUAAAGGUCUAAACUUGAAUAUGACCUGUUAAAUAAAUGGGUCAAGGUAGGUUAACCUAUUUAUAACAUGAACCCAUUCUACCAAACUGAAACCUGCUUAAAGAGGGCCAGUUGUGCAUUGAGUUGAUGGAUCAGGUUAUAAAUUGCCACUCUUAAUAAGGAUGGUCUUAUGGUGGGGCAUUCUGUCUCGUGGACAAACCAGGACACCACUAACUCAUGGGAUUUAAAAUCUUAUUUAGGAUAACUCAACCUAAUCCAAAUUUGGGUUAAAGGUUUUGGAGGGUUUGAUUUGGGUGAUUGGGUUCUGGUUCGGUUUCUGCAGGGUAUUUUUGCAGCUAAGUUGGGUUUGGGUUGGCCCUCAACUCGGGCCUAAUCUGUCCAAGUUGCUCUCCAAUUCUUGGGUUUCUUGAAUUGCUCAGUCCUCCUUUUAGGUUAAUUUGGUACAUCUUUGCCUUCUAGCCAUUCAAUUGCCUUGAUCACUCCAGUUGACCUUGUAUCUAACCUCGAGCAUCCCAUAACUUCAGUCCUUCAUCUCCUUUUGUGCAUCAAGCAGGGAAGAAAAGAGGAAAAAUGUGGAAGAAUCGAUCGAUAUAACUCGUGCAAGUCAUCACUCUAUUUCAAGCAAUAGGCUAAAGGAAAAAAGAAUAGAAGUGUCCGUGAAGCCAUUGGUAGAAGAGAAUUAAUAAGCACAAAAAAGCUUCCAAAGCCUUAUCCAGCUUUAUAUCUAACAUUGAAGCACAUAGUUGACGGGAUAAAAGGAGGAGAAAUAACAAAGUCAAAAAGGCAUAUGAAGACCCAUGCUACGUUCAUGCCAAACCCACGUACAACUUGGACCGGAUGAAAUAUGAGAAACUCAAAGUGCCUCUCGCAGUGAUAGCAGUCUUCGGCUUCAGUAUGCAUAAAGUUUCCAUCUUGCACCAUCAGCUUAAUUUCUUGGUUGUUGGAACAAAUCCAAACAUAGCUUGGUGGAACGUUUCUGCCUGGUAAUUGCUCAUUUGUUCAAAU